GUUCAACGGCCGCGGUAUCCUAACCGUGCGAAGGUAGCGUAAUCACUUGUUCUUUAAAUGAGGACUAGUAUGAAUGGCACCACGAGGGUUAUACUGUCUCCUCUUUCUAAUCAGUGAAACUAAUCUCCCCGUGAAGAAGCGGGGAUCAACCUAUAAGACGAGAAGACCCUAUGGAGCUUUAAACUUAAAACAUUUGCCCAAACAAUCUUAAUUCCAGAAAAAUAAACCUAUUCAACAUUAAUGAUUUUUAAGUUUUCGGUUGGGGUGACCACGGAGCAAAAUUUAGCCUCCGCACUGAAAGGACCUUAAACCUUAGCCAAGAGCCACGACUCUAUGCAUCAAUAAUUUGACACCAAUUGACCCAAUAUAUUGAGCAAUGAACCAAGUUACCCUAGGGAUAACAGCGCAAUCUACUUCAAGAGCCCCUAUCGACAAGUAGGUUUACGACCUCGAUGUUGGAUCAGGGUAUCCCAGUGGUGCAGCCGCUACUAAAGGUUCGUUUGUUCAACGAUUAAAACCC
rnacentral:rRNA from 1 species